rnacentral:rRNA from 1 species
GGGGGGGGGGGGGGGGGGGGGGGUGGGGGCGGGGGGGAGGGUGGGGGGGGAGCUUGCGUCUGGGGAGGAGGUGCGGCGGGGGGAGGAACGCGUAGGGAACCUGCCUGGUGGCGGGGGAUAACUAUUGGAAGCGGUCGCUAAGACCGCAGAAUAGUAGAUGUUGCAUGACAUUUGCCUACACGGUGCAGUUGCAUGACUACCAGCUGGAGCUGCGGUGUAUUAGCUAGUUGGUGGGGGAACGGCUCACCAAGGCGACGAUACAUAGCCGACCUGAGAGGGUGAUCGGCCACAAUGGGACUGAGCAACGGCCCAGACUCCUACGGGAGGCAGCAGUAGGGAAUCUUCGGCAAUGGACGGAAGUCUGACCGAGCAACGCCGCGUGAGUGAAGAAGGUUUUCGGAUCGUAAAGCUCUGUUGUAAGAGAAGAACGAGUGUGAGAGUGGAAAGUUCACACUGUGACGGUAUCUUACCAGAAAGGGACGGCUAACUACGUG